ensembl:ncRNA C26B2.13 ncRNA
GGCGGCUUCUGUAUGCAGGUGGCUUUAGAUGGCUCUUGACGAGCACACACAGAGGUUAGAGAGACGCAGACGAUGAAGAAAAUCGCAGAACAGUUUAUAUGAGCUCAGAUGGCGUUGGAAAGUAUGUGCAACGUGGGAUUUUUAUUGUAU